GUGGCACUACCACUGCACUUCCUAUAGUUAGACAUUUAGAGAGCAAUUUUAAAGUAUUUCCACUACUUUCACAAGAACUUUACACACGUAAGGACAUAGCCAAAGUAAGUUAGACACCACCGAUUACUGCUGUCAAAAUCAUAUGGCUUGCUACGCGAGUACAUACAUACAUAUGUAUAGUAAAUGUAUAUACCAUUUAUAAGUAGAUAAAAGUAAGGAGAGCGCAAAUCUCUUCGACAACUUAUCAAAUGAUUGCUCGCUGUGAGCGCACACACACGAACGAAUUGAAGAGAAACAUUGCAGGUUUACCAAAACUAUUUUAAUUUGCUCGAUAAAGAUACAUAUGUGAGUUAGUAAUUUCAAUGAUUUGGAUAGCCGUAAAAUCGGAAUAAAUGUUGUUGUAGACGGACUUUUGACAAGUCCAUGAAUGCUCAACGAUUGGUGGUGUAAAUGGAUAAAGGAUUACUUGCUUAUGUAUGUAUGUGUGAAGCAUUAUUAAUUAUUCAUCUGAAGAACAUCGUGAAAUAAUUUUUGUCUUUCUUAUUUAAAAUUUUAAAAUCUAUUUGGGUGAAAUAUAAGUAAUAAUGCUAUAGCCAUCGUAGCCACACUCACUCCGCAGCCAACGGGGAUUAAAAAAUCGCAAUGGCAUUGUAAACUAUUUUCGAAAAUGGCUAUAUUAAAUAUCUCUGUCCGUUAAGGCACUGGAAAAAUAUAUUUUACUUGUUAUCAAUGCUUUCAGCUUCAGUUACAAUGUACAUAAAUGUUAGUUGCACAAGUUUUUUAAUCUCUCUUCAUAUGAGGAUUAUCUAUUUCAAGUGCUUUAGAUAGAUGGUUCUUUCAAAGCAGUAGCUUGAAUCCAUGUGGUAUACCUGCUCUGCUGACACUGGCUCAUCAGUGAUCGCAGCGAAAAUUUCGAAACACUGUGCUCGCACUUUAGUAUAAAUUGAGCUGUUGAAUUUCACAACAGCACAAUCGUCAAAGUAUCGUAGGCCACUCAACAUCUUUAGCGGAUUAUAUAACGUCGAAUUUUGCUAAACGAAAAAGUGAGAAGUUCGCUAUUAUAAAACUAUGACUGAAGUUACGGAAAUUGAGUUAUUAAAAAACAAAGAAAACGAAAUUAAAGCGGCCACCACCAUAAUGCCUAGUAAUCUUGAAAUCAUCGGUUGUCCAAAACCAGGUGGAGCUCUGCAACGUCUGGCCGAUCUCGCUGCAGCCAUCGCAGCGGAAGACCGGAGCGCAAAUAGCGAUAGCGAUUAUGACGACGAGAGCGACACAGAAUCGGAUGACAGUGACUACUUUAGUAUCGACAUACCCUUCCGGACCCGUAGGGCAUCCUUGCCAGCUGUCAUUGAAGCUCAAAAAGUAACUGAGGCCGCAACUGCUGCCAUGAGGAAAUUGUGGACUCAACGCAUGGCACGUCGAUCCAUGUAUUUGUAGAGCACCCACUGCUUUUAAAACUU